ACGCUCGACACCUACGGGAGGCAGCAGUCGGGAAUAUUGCGCAAUGGAGGAAACUCUGACGCAGUGACGCCGCGUAUAGGAAGAAGGUUUUCGGAUUGUAAACUAUUGUCGUUAGGGAAGAGAAAGGACAGUACCUAAGGAGGAAGCUCCGGCUAACUACGUGCCANCGCGCGGUAGUAUGNGNGGCGGNGCGAGAG
rnacentral:rRNA from 1 species